rnacentral:lncRNA from 1 species
AGGAAUGGCACUGUGAUAUGCCCUGCAGAGACCCAUGGGCACUGGGGUGCAGUGAGGCUCCUGGCUGGUGCUGUGCAGUGACCGUGGAGUGAUGCUGGGGUUGUGGGGGUAAAAAUUCCCCAAGACUGACCUGUCCCACACUUCUGCAAGGACCUCCCUGCAGCCCCCUAGACUGGUGCCAAGACCCUGUGUGUGCGGAGCCCUGCACUGGCCCAGGAAGUCAGGAUUCCUGGGUUCUGUUCCCAGCUCUCCCCCCUUGAGGCCUGCUGAUCGGGGGUGUGGGGUUCACCUACUCUCCCCAGCAGCUGCAGCUCCUGUCCUGCCAAUAAAGUUGUGUUGGUCUCUCCCCUGGGCUGAGUUGCCU